UCUGUCACAGCACACAACAACGCCCAUCGACUGACUCUCGCGCGCGCGGCCCAGGAGGAAGCAGGAGGAUGAACGGCGGCAAGAAGAAGUUCGGCGGCGGGCGGGUGCCGACGGGGACCCCCUCGCUGGCGUGGUCGUCGGUGGUGGUGGUCGCCUCCCUCCUCGCCGGCGCCUCCAUCGUCCACAACAUCUACAAGCCCGACAUGACUCUACCGCCGGUGGAGGUCGCGGACAGCAACGGAACCGGAGCCGGCAGCGGCGAUCGCAAGGAGAGCUGAGCUAGACCCGACGGCGCCAGCGCCGGAGCUCAAGGCUCGAGAGGAUAGAUAACUAUGGGCCACAGACACAUGUGGAGUUCUUUGUUUUGUAAUCUUCAGACAGACGUGAACAAAACAAUUCGAGCUUUUAUGUACUCUGCUUAAUCUGCUGUGCUGUAUUACUGUUCUUUGUGUGGUGAUUGAUUGAUUGUAUGUGUUAUUAUGGGGCUAGGGCCAUAUGAUAUUUUCUAUAGUUUACUUCUAAAGAAUAUUUUUA